rnacentral:rRNA from 1 species
AGAGUUUGAUCCUGGCUCAGGAGGAACGCUGGCGGCGUGCCUAACACAUGCAAGUCGAGCGAUCUUCUUCGGAAGAGAGCGGCGGACGGGUGAGUAACGCGUGGGUAACCUGCCUCAUACACAUGGAUAACAUACCGAAAGGUAUGCUAAUACAAGAUGAUAUAAGAGAUUCGCAUGGAUUCUUAUCAAAGCUCCGGCGGUAUGAGAUGGACCCGCGUCUGAUUAGCUAGUUGGUAAGGUAAUGGCUUACCAAGGCGACGAUCAGUAGCCGACCUGAGAGGGUGAUCGGCCACAUUGGAACUGAGACACGGUCCAAACUCCUACGGGAGGCAGCAGUGGGGAAUAUUGCACAAUGGGCGAAAGCCUGAUGCAGCAACGCCGCGUGAGCGAUGAAGGCCUUCGGGUCGUAAAGCUCUGUCCUCAAGGAAGAUAAUGACGGUACUUGAGGAGGAAGCCCCGGCUAACUACGUG